AUAGUGGAGUUAUAAUAGAGUUUGGCUACAAUGCUAUUAAUAUAACUAAGCACUUGUGCUACCGAGUUUUCUGCCGUUAGAUCAAUAUUUUUUAUCAUUUUCAUCUGUUAGAUCAUACUAUUCAACUAACCACUUAUUUAAUCCUAAGAGACGACUAUCAUUCUAACCGCAUAUCACUAGCACCAAGGGCCGACAACUUAAUAGCACUAACAACAUUGGUGCUAUUAAUAGUACUCCAGCAUAAUUCAUUAUAAUAUUAUAAAUAGUACAACAAUAGUAUUUAUUAUUUAUAUACCA
rnacentral:lncRNA from 1 species